ensembl:snoRNA
UGGGUCGGUGAUGACCACUGGUGGCAUAUGUGUCAUGGAUCGUGACUACAGGUCUGGAAGUCUGAGGUCCAU